UACGAAGGGGGCUAGCGUUGCUCGGAAUUACUGGGCGUAAAGGGCGCGUAGGCGGACAGUUUAGUCAGAGGUGAAAGCCCAGGGCUCAACCUUGGAAUUGCCUUUGAUACUGGCUGUCUUGAGUACGGGAGAGGUGUGUGGAACUCCGAGUGUAGAGGUGAAAUUCGUAGAUAUUCGGAAGAACACCAGUGGCGAAGGCGACACACUGGCCCGUUACUGACGCUGAGGCG
rnacentral:rRNA from 1 species